ensembl:lncRNA
CGGAAGUUGAUCGCGGAAACGAAACGGCCGCCAGCUGCAGUCCGUUACAUCAGAGAGAGCAAGAUGGCGAGAGCUUUUUGGAAGUAAAACAAGCGGAGGGACGACAUACACCGAAGAACCGUGCAGAAGAAUUCCUCCACGUGUCAAACAGAAGGGCGCAGGUGGAGAAAUGUCUCCGUCCUUCCUGUGUCCUCGACGCAGGUCUGAUGGCACAGGGGGAAAUCCUGUCUCAGCUCAUGUCCCCCCCCCCCCCCCCCCCCCCCGCUGGGAUGUGGAGGUACGCUCGGUUUCAUCGCCCUGUUCAUGACUGUUAUUGCUCAAAAGUGGAAGAUUAUGAUUACCUGGAAGCCUCAGUCCCGGCUCUGUUUCUGCCUGCAGAGUAACGGCGAGUAUUCCAGGUCCAAAGGGAUGAAUUUAAUCUGCAGAUGGUUAUCAAUCUAAAAGUGGUUUUGCCCUCUUGAAAGGGAUCUCCAUGCUUUUGUUGUCAAGUUGUAUUUCAACCAUUUCCUCCCGUGUUCAUUCGCUCUCACUCACAACUCCCCUCUGUAUUAUACGGCUUAAUUUUGCUGAAGAGCUGCAAAUGUCACAGUUCAGUGGAAUUUUGAGGCCUCUAAAAUCCCAGAGACUGUGCCUGAUAGAUUUCAGUAAACUAUGAAAUUAAAUAAGGAACCUCCUGUGUGAAUUGGAUUUAAAUAUUCCUAUUACUCCGGCAAAUGAAUAAGAAGAAAAGUAAGAUUAACUUUUAAAUGAUGGUGAGAAUCCUCCAGUGCUACGGCUUCAGAACGAGGUCAUUAGUGUAAGUGUGAUGCUUCAUAAUCCCUCCCAGCGGCGAGCGGGACACCGCACAUCCAUAUCGACUCCCCACAGAUAAAAGUAUUUAUUUCAGGAUCUUUCCUGGACAGUGAGGACAAACAACAGUAAGCCACGAAUCCACCUCCAUGUGAUGGAUCCAGGUGAAAACAAGCUUCACGCUCCCCGCGGCCUCAUUCAUCACCCGAUUAUCAUUCAUGUCUGUUGAGGGUUUCCAUGAUUGUAGCUUGGAUUAUUUCAGAAAGUCGAUGUAUUUCCAAUAUUUUCCUUCUUCCACCAAACGAUUGCGAAAACAUUACAUCAACAACAACAAGGACUACAUUUGCGCGGAGAAGGUUUUAACUUCACUUUGAGUCCUUAGCCUUUUGAAGUAUUGCAGAGCAUGAGCUUACAUUUCAUUUCGCCCAGGCUUUGCACCUGAGACACACACACACACACCUUUAAGAUGCAAUGAAAGGAAAUAAUAACUGAAGCUCUCUGAAUUAAUUAACUCGAGUAUAAACUUGACUUUGAUUGCAAAGCGAAAUUGGCUUUGACUUGACUUCUAGUUGUCAUUCAUCUUUUGGGGCAGCUGAAACCUUUCAGGCUUUAACCUGCUGUGUAUUUUGGCCUUUGCGAGAGAAAGAGAGGCAAACAUCUGGAUUCUUCCCAUGAUUGUCAGGAAGCAC